rnacentral:rRNA from 1 species
UACGGGGGGGGCAAGCGUUGUUCGGAAUUACUGGGCGUAACGGGUUCGUAGGUGGCCAACUAAGUCAGACGUGAAAUCCCUCGGCUUAACCGGGGAACUGCGUCUGAUACUGGAUGGCUUGAGUUUGGGAGAGGGAUGCGGAAUUCCAGGUGUAGCGGUGAAAUGCGUAGAUAUCUGGAGGAACACCGGUGGCGAAGGCGGUUCUCUGGGCAUUACCUGACGCUGAGGAGCGAAAGUGUGGGGAGCGAACAGG